ACCCGCCGUCCUCGGGUCAGGCGCCGCCGCGGCCACCCCGGGGUCCUCGGGUCCAGAGCGCGCGCCCGGCCCCGCCUCCUGCAGGACAGGCGGGGAAAGCGGGCCGCCUGGGGCAGUGCCUGCGGGGAGGCGUUGCUGCAGGGAAGCAGGGGCAGUGGCGCCCACACAGAGGCUGGCGGAGCUCUGCUAUACAGAAAAAAGAAAAAGAGGAAAGUGGAUAAGAGACAAGCCUUAGAAGAAAACUUGGAACGACUUAUAAGUAAAAAUGAAAGCCGGGCACAGUGGCACAUGCCUGUAAUCCCAGCGCUCUGGGAGGCAGAGGCAGGCAGUUCUCAGAGUUCCAAGCCAGCCUGAUCUAUAAAGUGAAUCCAGGACACCCAAGAUUACACAGAGAAACCCUGUCUCGAAAAAAAUGAAAUACCCAGAGACAAAUUAAGACCAGUAUUAAUAAAAAUCUCAAAAACAUUUCAAACGACGUUUCCCACAUUUUAUCAGCCGCCUCAGGUCACAUUGGUCCUUUCCCUGACCCCUCUCUGACAGUAAUGCCUCAAUACUGUUCCAAGUGGGGAUUUUAGGAUGUCACCCCUCACUGCUAAAGAACUCAACCAACCCAUGUCAGCCUGAAAGGGCUACAGCUUAAAUUCCCCCACACCCCACAAAACACCUUAAACGCAUUCUUAAGACUUGCUUCUCCUGUGCCUCCCCAAUCCACACCCCUCAGUCUAUAAUUUAUCAGAAAAUUCUACAGAAAGUACAAACAGGAGAGGUCAAUAAUGAACUCCAUUUUCACAAAUUGCUGGGAGAUAUUAACUACUCAAGAGCUAAGUAAUUUUUCAAACCUUACAAGGUGAUUGGGACUUAAUUGGCUCUGGUAGAAAAGAAAUUACAGGCUGCACAUGUGAACAGUUUGGAUCCAAAGUUUGGAUUGCAUUUUAUUCUGCCUUCUCAUCCUCCCAUAGGAUUUGUUAUACAGAGGCAAGAGACUACCUUAGAAUGGAUAUUUUUAGCACACAAAAAGUAAAGACCUACCUAAAAGGGGGGGGGGGUCUCUAAAUUGAUCUGAAAGGAAAAAUGAGACUUUGUCAAGUUUCAGGAAUAGACCCAGCAGAAAUUGUGGUGCUUUUUACUAAUGCUGAGUUGCCUCAUUAUGGGCAGAAAAUGAACAUUGGCAAAGAGCUUGCAGUGAGUUUUUUGGGGAGAGAAUAACAGCAAAUAUCUCAAAAGCAAGAGAGUUCAGUUUAUAAAAAGAACAACUGGACUUUCCCCCCUGUAUAGUAAAAGGGAACCAAUUACCACUUUCUGGAGCAUCUACCUUCUGUGCUGAUGCCAAUAAAUCAGGAAAGUCAGGCUAUAAGUCAGGGGAAAUAAGUGGCUCAGAGACUUGUGAUUCAGUUAAAAACCAGAGCUGUGUGCCAUUCUUGCGGUGUUGUGUGAUUUUCCUGAAUCUCUCAAUAUGCAGAAAGAGUUGUUUUACAUAUUGGAACUGCUGAGCUUAUUCCAGAUGAUUCAGAAUUAACUUCACUGUUUAUUCAACUACAAGUAAUCAGAAAUAGCAAUCAUCCCGUGUAUAUAACACGUAUCAGAUCUCUGGGUCUACCAGGCCCCUAGCAAAAGGUAAUGAUGAAAUUGAUGAGCUGUUAAUAGGAAAUGUGCUAGAAGCCUCAGAAUUUCAUAAACACCAUGUUAACAGCAAAGGCUUGAAGAAAGAUUUUUCUAUCACUUGGCAACAAACCAAGGAAAUUAUAAGGACAUGUCCUACUUGUACUUUGUAUAGCCAAACUCCAUUACCUGCGGGAAGUAACCCAAAAGGUACCCAAAGAAGUGAAAUUUGACAAAUGGAUGUUUCAUUUUGCAGAGUUUGGAAAACUGGAUACAUAUUCAGAUUAUAAUGGGCAACAGCUCUCAGUUCUGAAGAGGUGGAUUCUGUAAUUACACAUUAAUUAGAAGUCAUGGCUGUUAUGGGAGACCUGCACAGAUUAAGAACAACAAUGUGGGGGCUGAGGAGAUGGCUCAGGGGUUAAGAGCACCGGCUGCUCUUCCAAAGGUCCUGAGUUCGAUUCCCAGCAACCACAUGGUGGCUCACAACCAUCUAUAAUGAGAUCUGGUGUCCCCUACUGGUGUGCAGGUGUACAUGCAGGCAGAAUACUGUACACAUAAUAAAUAAAUCUUGAAAAACAACAACGCUUCAGCACAGCUCUAGUAAAAUGAAGCAGUUCUUCACACACUGCAACAUAAAGCCUAUUACAGGCCUACCACAGAGUCCUGCAGGACAAGCAGUUACACAAAGAUCUAGUUGCACUUUACGAGAGGCAGAAUAAACAGGGGUAAAAUAGACACCCAGAGAUGGAUUACACAGUGCUUUAUUGACUUUAAAAUUUCUAAAUGCUAGGUGAGCAAAAACAACAGCUACUGAGACUUUAGAUGUGGAAAAAAAAACUACUAAAUUGAGCCAGCCCGUGGAUUUUUAGGGGUGUGCUAAAAUUACAAUGGAAGGCUUUGCAGGAGAGGCUCUUUGAUUCAACAGAAAACAGAAAGCUGUGGAUUCCUUCAAAAUUAAAAAAGAUUAGAUUUGACCUGGGAAGACCUCCUGUGAAUCUUGGGUGCAGACAUGAAGAAAGAAACCAAAAAAGAGUAACAAAACAGUUAACAUGAAUGCUGAUCCUUCUACAUGGGAACAGCUCUGAGACUUGCUAAGACUCAGGUCUGUGAGUAGCCAGUCAAUUGUGUUUGCUACAGUCGUCAGGACUAUUGCAUGCCAUCCUUUCAUAUGGUAUGGCUGGAGACACAUGCAGUCCAACAGGACUUAAAAGUCUGAUGCCCUUUACCUGCUCAAACAGAGCAGAGAAUCAUCUUUAGCUGAUGUGCACACUGCAUAUUCCAUACAUGUGUUCAUGCAGAAACGUUUAUUACCUUUAAGAGUUGUUUUCAGAGCAGAAAGGCCCGACACCAACAAAGACAAGACAGGUAGCCCGGGUGAUCCAGCCCUACAGACUGCUUCCACAACUGUUUCCUUACGAAUCUGCAUCCAGAACAACUGCAAACCGGCUAAGAUGGUCCGGCUUGAAAGACUGUCCAGCCAGGACUUCAGUUAAGCCUUGCACUUUCCCAUAACAGACUGGACAGCAAAUGAUACUACCUCUCUCAGGACUUCACCAUUAUCUCAAUUUCUUAGGGUCCCCAAAAGAUGGGGACUUUUUUUUUUAAAGUUUUUCAAGACAGGCUUUUUCUGUGUAGCUCUGGCUGUCCUGGACUCACUUUGUAGCCCAGGCUGGUCACGUGCUUCUGCCUCCCUGAGUGCUGGGAUUAAAGGUGUGCACCAGUAUGACUGGUGAAGAAUAUAUUUUUGUUAUACUGUAUGACUAUUUCAAUUCUUGUUUAAGGUAUUGCUCCAGUGCAACCCAUUAAAAAUGUAAAGUUCUAGUCCUUGAAAACUGCUAUUAUAGACUGUUUAGGGUAAUAAGAAAUGCAAGUUAGUAGUCAAUCAAACUUGUGGUCAUGAUACACUAGUUGAAUCACAGAAAUAAGCUCUCUUUCGGCUCCUGUAUGUUUUCAAGGGGAAGCAGAUAGUAAAUAUUUAGAAACAUGCAACAUUUGACUAACUCAGAUAUCCUUUAGGCAGACAGCGGUCUUCCAACACUUCAGAGAGCCACAGAUUACAGCAUCUAAGAUGUUUUAACAAUCUUUUCAUGGCAGUGAGGCUUGCCUGCUCCUGGUAGCACCUCAGUAGUACUUCUCAGAAGACGGUGGGCACUGAAGGAUCGUCCUGUGGAGUUUAGAGCUUCAGAGGUGGCAGAGCUGGCCGCUGGGCAAAAGACUGCCCUCACCGCAACUGCUGCCAACACCUUGCAACGGUGGACGAGCAGGAGCCUUAAGAUGGCUGCCGAAUCUCGCCAGGACAAGGCAAGUCAUUCCUUCAGAAUUCCUGUCACAGAAGUGUGUCACAUACUGGGCCAGAAGGCCGAAGAUGGCUGCUCCAAUGUUGCAGAGGAAUCUUGGGUGGCUGUCCGGGCAGCCAACAUCAGUAUUAUUUCUAGUUUUGGAAGCUGCUUGCUCUGCACCUCUGUUUACUCAGGUGUGGGCUGCUUCAGACUAUCCACGGCAGCAGACUAUUGUCUCAUGCAGGCCCUGAAAGGGAUCUUUGUUGGCUGCAGGCAGUUUAGGUCUGGGGACUCUGAGAGGGUAGGAAUGCAAGAGCCCAGAGAGGGACAGGGGUGCCUGAAAGAAGGCUGCUGCUGCUCCCCCUGCUGCUCCAGUUGUUGCAGUCUGAUGAGAAGUUGGAGACAUCCUGACUACGAAGAUUGGAUUUGUCCCAAAGAACCCAGUGACCCUAACCAGCAGGAAGUAAACUGCGAAACCAAUGGCCCCUCUCCUACUAACCUUUCUCUCCUACCUGGUGUUGGGGUGUUGGAAAGGAUAAGGGGUGAAGGGAGGUAGAGAUAUAAGAACCUAAAUAGAUUUAAAAAAAAAAAAAAAACAGCAUGUCAACACCUACAUAUCCAUAAAGGUAACUAAAAUUACCCUCCUCCACUCUCUACAUUCUAUGGCUCCCCACUACUCUAACACUUGGACUACACAAAAGGUCUUAGCUGCCGGGCCUCUCACCCUUCCUGCAUGUCAGCACCAUGUUCUAGGCAUUGCAGAAUUAAGGUUCUCAAGUACCAACAUGUGCCCAACGCUUUCAAGAGUCAACAAAUAAAAUGUUUUAAAAAGAGAGAAACAUGAGACGAUACAGUGUGAGGGCUGGUGAUGGAGUUCAGGUGGUGGCUUGCUUGUUGAGCAUGCCCAGUCCCACACAAAAGAAAAACACUUCAGUGAAAACUGUAAUUUCCAAAGCAUCUAUUAAGAAUAAAACAAACUCUAAGAGCUGGACUGAUGUAAAUAAAAGAACACAGAAACAUCUUUCCAGUGAUACUGCCUCUAUUCAAGUCCUGAAUGAUUAAGGGCAAAUGGCACAGCCGGGCAAAUCCCAGCACUCAGGAGGCAGAGGUUGGUGGAUCUCAGUGAGUUUCAGGACACUCAGGGGUACACAAGAAGCCUGGCUCAAAAACCAAGGGGGGAAAAAAAAAAGAAGAAAGAGAAGAAAGGAAGGAAGGAGCAAAUACAA